CCGACCUUAGCUCAGUUGGUAGAGCGGAGGACUGUAGUGUGCAGAUUAAUCCUUAGGUCGCUGGUUCGAAUCCGCCAGGUCGGA
rnacentral:tRNA from 1 species